rnacentral:rRNA from 1 species
GAUGAACGCUAGCUACAGGCUUAACACAUGCAAGUCGAGGGGAAACGAUGAGAGAGCUUGCUCUCUUAGUCGUCGACCGGCGCACGGGUGAGUAACGCGUAUCCAACCUGCCUCUGACCAAGGGAUAACCCGUCGAAAGUCGGACUAAUACCUUAUGCAGUCGUCGGAAAUCAUCUGAUGACGACGAAAGAUUUCAUCGGUGAGAGAUGGGGAUGCGUCUGAUUAGCUUGUUGGCGGGGUAACGGCCCACCAAGGCGACGAUCAGUAGGGGUUCUGAGAGGAAGGUCCCCCACAUUGGAACUGAGACACGGUCCAAACUCCUACGGGAGGCAGCAGUGAGGAAUAUUGGUCAAUGGGCGUAAGCCUGAACCAGCCAAGUAGCGUGCAGGAUGACGGCCCUAUGGGUUGUAAACUGCUUUUAUGCGGGGAUAAAGUGAGGGACGUGUCCUUCAUUGCAGGUACCGCAUGAAUAAGGACCGGCUAAUUCCGUG